rnacentral:sRNA from 1 species
AUCCAGCGCAGAAUGUGGUGAUCCCGGUCUUGAAAAACCAGCUGUCUUGGUUGCUGUUGAAAACUGAGAGAAGUAGACGGUUGAUUUUCAGUUCAUGAAGUUGUUGUGGUCCCGGAAAUGAAAAUGUGGUUCUCUGUUGUUGGAAGAACACAGGCAGUGGGUGCUGGUCAAGAUAAACUAGGAAUCUAUGUGAAGUCGGUUGUGAAAGGAGGUGCUGCAGAUGUGGAUGGACGUCUAGCUGCAGGUGAUCAGCUCCUCAGUGUGGAUGGACGAAGUCUGGUUGGACUCUCUCAGGAAAGGGCAGCAGAACUCAUGACAAGAACAAGCUCUGUGGUGACACUGGAAGUAGCAAAGCAGGGUGCCAUCUACCACGGUCUGGCCACCCUUCUCAAUCAGCCAUCCCCCAUGAUGCAGAGAAUUUCAGAUCGUCGUGGCUCAGGUAAACCCCGACCAAAGAGUGAAGGCUUUGAGCUCUAUAAUAAUUCAACUCAAAAUGGGUCUCCUGAGAGUCCUCAGCUGCCUUGGGCAGAAUAUAGUGAACCAAAGAAAUUGCCUGGUGAUGACAGACUGAUGAAAAAUAGAGCUGAUCACCGUUCCAGCCCCAACGUAGCAAAUCAGCCUCCUAGUCCUGGAGGGAAAAGUGCAUAUGCCUCUGGAACAACAGCGAAGA